rnacentral:rRNA from 1 species
GUAGGUGGCAAGCGUUGUCCGGAAUUAUUGGGCGUAAAGCGCGCGCAGGCGGUCCUUUAAGUCUGAUGUGAAAGCCCACGGCUCAACCGUGGAGGGUCAUUGGAAACUGGGGGACUUGAGUACAGAAGAGGAAAGCGGAAUUCCAAGUGUAGCGGUGAAAUGCGUAGAGAUUUGGAGGAACACCAGUGGCGAAGGCGGCUUUCUGGUCUGUAACUGACGCUGAGGCGCGAAAGCGUGGGGAGCAAACAGGGAUUAGAUACCCUGGUAGUCCACGCCGUAAACGAUGAGUGCUAAGUGUUGGGGGGGUUUCCCGCCCCCUUAGUGCUGCAGCUAACGCAUUAAGCACUCCGCCUGGGGGUAGUACGGCCGCAAGGCUG